rnacentral:tRNA from 5 species
GCGGGUAUCGUAUAGCGGCAUUAUGUAUCCUUCCCAAGGAUAAGACACGGGUUCGAUUCCCGUUACCCGCUCAA